rnacentral:rRNA from 1 species
UACGUAGGGUGCAAGCGUUGUCCGGAAUUAUUGGGCGUAAAGAGCUCGUAGGCGGUUUGUCGCGUCUGCUGUGAAAACUCGGGGCUUAACUCCGGGCCUGCAGUGGGUACGGGCAGACUAGAGUGCGGUAGGGGAGACUGGAAUUCCUGGUGUAGCGGUGAAAUGCGCAGAUAUCAGGAGGAACACCAAUGGCGAAGGCAGCUCGCUGGGACGUGACUGACGCUGAGACGCGAAAGCGUGGGGAGCGAACAGG